rnacentral:rRNA from 1 species
GACAUAGGUGGCAAACGUUAUCCGGAAUCAUUGGGCGUAAAGGGUGCGUAGAUGGUGAGGUAAGUUAACAGUGGGAAAUCGAGGCUCAACCUCGUGGAAGUUGUUAAUACUGCUUCGCUAGAGGGCCGGAGAGGUUAACGGAACUCUUAUGGAGGGGUGAAAUGCGUAGAUAUCAUUUGGAACGCCAAUGGUGAAAACAGGUAGCUGGGGGUCUGCUGACGCUGAGACACGAAAGCCAGGGGAGCGAACGGG